AGAGAGACAGAGAGAAGAACCAUUGGCUCAGUUGUGAUCAUGGGAUGUUCAGUGUCAUGUACUACUCACAUUGCAAGACAUCGCUUGUCUAUCAAGUUAAAAUUUAUUAGAAAUAUUUGCUCAUCUUGCGGAACACUCACAGAACAAGUUCCUCGCAAUCCAAGGUUUUACUAUAUUUGUGUACAUAGGUUUAUUGUCAAUUAUAUUGCUGUAAAGAAUAUGUAGCACACAAUUUAUCAAUAAUAAUAAAAUACAU